UACGUAGGGUGCGAGCGUUGCCCGGAUUUAUUGGGCGUAAAGGGCGCGUAGGCGGCUCGGCACGUCCGUUGUGAAAUCGCUCGGCUCAACUGGGCGAGGUCAGCGGAUACGGUCGAGCUUGAGCCAGCUAGGGGGCAAUGGAAUUCCCGGUGUAGUGGUGGAAUGCGUAGAUAUCAGGAGGAACACCGGUGGCGAAGGCGGGUCUCUGGGCCGACACUGACGCUGAGGAGCGAAAGCGUGGGGAGCGAACAGG
rnacentral:rRNA from 1 species